rnacentral:ribozyme from 1 species
UUGACGAAACAUUUGACGUUGACGAAACGAAAUGUCGGUUUCGUCAAGAGCGAGUCGAUGGGCAAGCUUUGCUAGGCUUUGACAGUGAGCUACUCAAAGAAUGCGGAGUCAGAUUUGUUGGACAUCGUUCCAAGCUCCUUAGAGCCAUUAGACAAUUAAAGCAGCAAAGCAGCAGUCAUGAGAUAUGCAGAAAGUGGUGGUGGUUCUAUGCUGGUUACCUCUCUGGUCUUUCAACUCACCCUAUAAAAGAAUCCAAACUUGGGCCCA